rnacentral:lncRNA from 13 species
CUCUUUACUUUGCAACAUUACUAGCAAGCUAUAAAAUUGUAUAGUUCUUGUUUGUUUGUUUUGAGACAGAGUUCAGCUCUGUCACCAGGCUGCAGUGCAGUGGCUCAGUGUCGGCUCACUGCAAACUCCACCUCCCAGGAUCAAGUGAUUCUCCUGCCUCAACUUCUGGGUAGCUGGGAGCACAGGCUGGAGUGCAGUGGCACUAUCUUAGCUCACUGCAACCUCUACCUCUCAGAUUCAGCCAUUGUCCCUAGGGACUGGAGGUGAGUGCCACCACACCUAGCUAAUUUUUGUAUUUUGAGUAGAGAUGAGGUCUCCAGCUUCAGACCUAAAGUGAUCCACCUGCCUCGGCCUCCCAAAGUUCUGAG